GAUGAACGCUGGCGGCGUGCCUAAUACAUGCAAGUCGAGCGAACAGACGAGGAGCUUGCUCCUCUGACGUUAGCGGCGGGCGGGUGAGUAACACGUGGAUAACCUACCUAUAAGACUGGGAUAACUUCGGGAAACCGGAGCUAAUACCGGAUAAUAUAUUGAACCGCAUGGUUCAAUAGUGAAAGACGGUUUUGCUGUCACUUAUAGAUGGAUCCGCGCCGCAUUAGCUAGUUGGUAAGGUAACAGCUUACCAAGGCAACGAUGCGUAGCCGACCUGAGAGGGUGAUCGGCCACACUGGAACUGAGACACGGUCUAGACUCCUACGGGAGGCAGCAGUAGGGAAUCUUCCGCAAUGGGCGAAAGCCUGACGGAGCAACGCCGCGUGAGUGAUGAAGGUCUUCGGAUCGUAAAACUCUGUUAUUAGGGAAGAACAAAUGUGUAAGUAACUAUGCACGUCUUGACGGUACCUAAUCAGAAAGCCACGGCUAACUACGUG
rnacentral:rRNA from 1 species